AGUGGCGAACGGGUGAGUAACACGUAGGUAACCUGCCCUGGAGCGGGGGACAACCAUUGGAAACGAUGGCUAAUACCCCAUGGUUCUAUUGGUUUUGGAAGGCCGAUAGAUAAAACUCCGGUGCUCCGGGAGGGGCCUGCGUCCGAUUAGCUAGUUGGUGGGGUAACGGCCUACCAAGGCGACGAUCGGUAGCUGGUCUGAGAGGACGAUCAGUCACAUGGGAACUGAGACACGGUCCCAACUCCUACGGGGGGCAGCAGUGAGGAAUAUUGCACAAUGGGGGAAACCCUGAUGCAGCAACGCCGCGUGGAGGAUGAAGGCUUCGGUUGUAAACUCCUUUUCUGAGGGAAGAGAAAGGACGGUACCUCAGGAAUAAGUCACGGCUAACUACGUGCCAGCAGCCGCGGUAACACGUAGGUGGCGAGCGUUAUCCGGAUUUAUUGGGCGUAAAGCGCACGCAGGCGGUUGGUCAAGUCCGACGUGAAAUCUCUCGGCUUAACUGGGAGCGGUCGUUAGAAACUGAUCAACUUGAGGCAAUGAGAGGGAUACAGAAUUCCUGGUGUAGUGGUGGAAUGCGUAGAUAUCAGGAGGAAUACCAGUGGCGAAAGCGGUAUCCUGGCAUUGUUCUGA
rnacentral:rRNA from 1 species